rnacentral:rRNA from 1 species
UACAGAGACCUCAAGCGUUAUCCGGAGUUAUUGGGCGUAAAGGGUCCGCAGGCGGCCUGACAAGUCAUGUGUCAAAUUUUUGGGCUCAACCCAGAAACUGCGCGUGAUACUGUCUGGCUAGAGGCUGGGAGAGGCACAUGGAAUUGCCGGUGUAGCGGUAAAAUGCGUUAAUAUCGGCAAGAACACCGAAGGCGAAGGCAGUGUGCUGGAACAGUCCUGACGCUCAGGGACGAAAGCGUGGGUAGCGAAUGGG